UGAACGCUGGCGGCGUGCCUACUACAUGCAAGUCGAGCGAACAGACGCGGAGCUUGCUCCUCUGACGUUAGCGGCGGACGGGUGAGUAACACGUGGAUAACCUACCUAUAAGACUGGGAUAACUUCGGGAAACCGGAGCUAAUACCGGAUAAUAUAUUGAACCGCAUGGUUCAAUAGUGAAAGACGGUUUUGCUGUCACUUAUAGAUGGAUCCGCGCCGCAUUAGCUAGUUGGUAAGGUAACGGCUUACCAAGGCAACGAUGCGUAGCCGACCUGAGAGGGUGAUCGGCCACACUGGAACUGAGACACGGUCCAGACUCCUACGGGAGGCAGCAGUAGGGAAUCUUCCGCAAUGGGCGAAAGCCUGACGGAGCAACGCCGCGUGAGUGAUGAAGGUCUUCGGAUCGUAAAACUCUGUUAUUAGGGAAGAACAAAUGUGUAAGUAACUAUGCACGUCUUGACGGUACCUAAUCAGAAAGCCACGGCUAACUACGUG
rnacentral:rRNA from 1 species